GCUGUAUCUAAAAUAAAAGAAAAACUUUCCAAACUAAACAUGAAACUUCUCCGGUAACAUAAUAAUAUAGACCCUUUACAAAAACAAACAAACAAACAAAUACCCCCCCCCCCCCCCCUUUUUUUUUCCAAAUCAAUCAAUAAAAAAAAUCAAUUAUCCAUUCAUCAGAGGGGAAAGACUGCCUAACAAUUGUUUUCAAAACAAUUGCUUUAUAUUUAUUAAGUCUUUCCACUUUUCUGUGGAAAGACUUAUUGUUUUGUUCUGAUUAUUAUUAUUAUUAUUAUUAUUAUUAUUAUUUUUUUUUUUUUUUUUCCGCCAAAUUUUGUUCUUGCGAUAAAUGUUUGUUUCGCAAUAUGUCGCUUAGAUAUUUCUCAUAUUGUAUCGUAUAGUUUAUGCGCUUUUAAAUUUCACCCUGCUAAGACGAACAAUUUUCUCUGUAAGAGUUAUCUCCCUAUUCACUGUUUAUCAUGUGUGUGCAUCUCCUUCGUAACAAAAAAAGAUAGCGACAAAAUUCUUUUUACAAAUUGUUCGUUACAUCCUCAGAAAAUUUUGGCUAAUUUGGAUCGAAGCGAUUCGAUGAAAUUUUAUAGGAGUUAUCUAUCUUUACGGAAUAAAUUUGUC
rnacentral:lncRNA from 1 species